UGCUAAGGCCGAUGGCGACCGGCGCACGGGUGAGUAACACGUAUCCAACCUGCCGUCUACUCUUGGACAGCCUUCUGAAAGGAAGAUUAAUACAAGAUGGCAUCAUGAGUUCACAUGUUCACAUGAUUAAAGGUAUUCCGGUAGACGAUGGGGAUGCGUUCCAUUAGAUAGUAGGCGGGGUAACGGCCCACCUAGUCUUCGAUGGAUAGGGGUUCUGAGAGGAAGGUCCCCCACAUUGGAACUGAGACACGGUCCAAACUCCUACGGGAGGCAGCAGUGAGGAAUAUUGGUCAAUGGGCGAGAGCCUGAACCAGCCAAGUAGCGUGAAGGAUGACUGCCCUAUGGGUUGUAAACUUCUUUUAUAAAGGAAUAAAGUCGGGUAUGGAUACCCGUUUGCAUGUACUUUAUGAAUAAGGAUCGGCUAACUCCGUGCCAGCAGCCGCGGUAAUACGGAGGAUCCGAGCGUUAUCCGGAUUUAUUGGGUUUAAAGGGAGCGUAGAUGGAUGUUUAAGUCAGUUGUGAAAGUUUGCGGCUCAACCGUAAAAUUGCAGUUGAUACUGGAUAUCUUGAGUGCAGUUGAGGCAGGCGGAAUUCGUGGUGUAGCGGUGAAAUGCUUAGAUAUCACGAAGAACUCCGAUUGCGAAGGCAGCCUGCUAAGCUGCAACUGACAUUGAGGCUCGAAAGUGUGGGUAUCAAACAGGAUUAGAUACCCUGGUAGUCCACACGG
rnacentral:rRNA from 1 species